rnacentral:rRNA from 1 species
GACGAACGCUGGCGGCGUGCUUAACACAUGCAAGUCGAACGAUGAAGCUGGAGCUUGCUCUAGCGGAUUAGUGGCGAACGGGUGAGUAACACGUGAGCAAUCUGCCCUUGACUCUGGGAUAACUGCGGGAAACUGUAGCUAAUACCGGAUACUUUCACCGGGGGGCAUCCUCUGGUGAUGAAAGAAUUUCGGUCAAGGAUGAGCUCGCGGCCUAGCAGCUUGUUGGUGAGGUAACGGCUCACCAAGGCGACGACGGGUAACCGGCCUGAGAGGGUGACCGGUCACACUGGGACUGAGACACGGCCCAGACUCCUACGGGGGGCAGCAGUGGGGAAUAUUGCACAAUGGGCGCAAGCCUGAUGCAGCAACGCCGCGUGAGGGAUGAAGGCCUUUGGGUUGUAAACCUCUUUUAGCAGGGAAGAAGCGAAAGUGACGGUACCUGCAGAAAAAGCACCGGCUAACUACGUGCCAGCAGCCGCCGUAA